rnacentral:ncRNA from 1 species
GGUCGACACUAGGGGAGCUCAAAGCUUGUCUUUUUCUUUUUCAUAGAAAAGCUGUGCUUUGUGGCUGAGAAUUUAAAACUCUCAUUACCUGAUCAGGCUAGUACCUGCGAAGGGAAGUUGUCGACCCUCAACU